GAUGAACGCUAGCGGCAGGCUUAAUACAUGCAAGUCGAGGGGCAGCAUGAUUGUAGCAAUACAAUUGAUGGCGACCGGCAAACGGGUGCGGAACACGUACACAACCUCCCAAUAAGUGGGGAAUAGCCCAGAGAAAUUUGGAUUAAUACCCCGUAACAUAACGAUGUGGCAUCACAUUGUUAUUAUAGAUUUUUCGCUUAUUGAUGGGUGUGCGGCUGAUUAGAUAGUUGGCGGGGUAACGGCCCACCAAGUCUACGAUCAGUAGCUGAUGUGAGAGCAUGAUAAGCACACGGGAACUGAGCAACGGGCCCGACGCCUACGGGAGGCAGCAGUAAGGAAUAUUGGACAAUGGACGCAAGUCUGAUCCAGCCAUGCCGCGUGAAGGAUUAAGGUCCUCUGGAUUGUAAACUUCUUUUAUAAGGGACGAAAAAAGGCUUUUCUAAGUCGUCUGACGGUACCUUAUGAAUAAGCACCGGCUAACUCCGUGCCAGCCGCCGCCGUAAAAC
rnacentral:rRNA from 1 species